CCCUUAGAUGUUCUGGGCCGCACGCGCGCUACAAUGGUCUUCGCAAACGGAUGCAUUCUCGAAGGAGAAUGCCAAUCUUGGAAUCUAUGCCUUGGUCGGGACAGUUGCUUGCAAUUUUUCGACUCGAACCAGGAAUUCCUUGUAAUCGUGAUUCAUCACAUCACGAUGAAUACGUCCCUGCCCUUUAUACACACCGCCCGUCGCUCCUACCGAUCGAAGAGUUAGGUGAAUUGUUUUGAUCGAUAAGAUUUGACUAUGGUCAACUCUCGUUGUGAAAUUCUGUGAAUCUGACUGUUUAGAGGAAGGAAAAGUCGUAACA
rnacentral:rRNA from 1 species